UCCUUGUUUACCGACUUUCGCACUGUGUUAUCUUCUACCAGCUGCUUAUUUUCCCAAGUGUCACUGCGCAGAUAUUGCUUCCUGUGGGCAAAGUACAUUAUUAUUCAUAUUUUACAUGUAUCCCCCUCUUUAACUGUCACAGAAACCGAUAUGUUUUCUUUUUCGAAAUUCUGUGGCUGAAAGAAAUAAUGAGAUGCGUGGGUCGAUGUUUUGCAAUUCCUGAGUCACAGUCCGUGUUUAAAUACGCUGAAAUCUUACCGCAGUCUUACCACAGAUCUACCCGAGAGAACUUGUGCAGCAAUCAGCAUUACGAUGUCGGCUGUGAAAGCUGCAUUCGUCCUCAUGCUCGCGCUCACAGUCACGGUGAUAUAUAUCUCCAGCACCAAUACCAAAAGUGCAGCGUGUUACGACAGAAAAUAUAUCAAGCACCAAUGCCAGUAUCUGUUGGCAAAGAAAUAACUGCUCAAGCAGCCAGCAGGAUUGCGGACCCGGAUGCAAAUGUAAAUUUUACUCUCGCCCCCCGAUAUGGAUCUGCACCUAUCCAGAUGCAUAGCGACCUUGAUAGAACGUACCCUGUGACACUUCUCUUUACGAAAACGAAGGCAAUAAAAGUU